AUGGUCAAAGCACUUGAUUCACCUUUCUCUUCAUCUUACUUCUGAAGGUCUGUCUCAGCUUAUGAACCUCUUAAAAGCAUUGAUUUUGCAAAAAGUAGUAAUCAAACUAUACGAAGAAAUGGAUAAUAAUUGCAGAAUUGGUCCAGUAGUUUAAGUAAGAUGCACUCCCAACAUCCCUUCAGUCUAUUUUCAUCUGCUUUCAUGAGAUUAGAUGCUCAUUUUUGAAGAUUAUUGCCAUCUUCAAGUAUGUGCAGUGUUACUCUAUCUUCUUAACUCUGUGGAAACUAUUUCUCUAGUAUUCUAUAUUAUCUAUAACACUAAUGAUGCCACUUCAAUUUGAAACUUUAUAUUUUGUGUAGAAAAAGUUUAUUGUAUUUCUGACUUUGGUGUCUGGGAAGGAGGAAGCAAAUAUAAUGACAAUACAGAACAAUAUUCAGGCUUUAAUGGUUUAGAAAAACUUGCCAUAGAACCUAUAGUUGGGUUCAACUUUUCCUGUGACCAUGUCUUCUUUGAGGAUCUUAGUGAUCAUAAUGACAGCAAGUAAACAUUGUGAUUAUUGUUACCUAGAAAAUAGGGAUUUUCUAACGGAUGGUGUCUUGAUUCCAUGCAUCAGUUUUCCUGUUCAGCCAGACACCUGAAAUCUCAGUUCAGAAGUAUUUGUAGUGCUUCUGGUAGUCUUUAAUAACAACUUGAAUAAAAGUUCAUAUUAAUAAUCUACAGAAAAUAAUACCUGGAGCUGUAUUUAAGAAACCUGUCUUCAUAUAAAUCUGUGGAAUAGAAAAGCUUUAUAUAGUAAACUUCUUUCUGAAAAAUUUAAGAACUAUCAGGAACUAGAAUUUCACAAAUGUUCAAAUUUAAACAAACAAAAACAAACAAACAAACAAACAAAAACCAAAUAUAACCAUUACCUUUACUAAAAGGACAGAAUUCUUCCAAAGCUGAAUAACUCCAGGUGUCUGACUAACCAAGCCAUUCCAAUAAGUACAUUGUUCAAAAGAGAGUGUCCUAGCUUCAUCACCAUGGAAGGCAACUUUUCUGAUCAUAUUAAGAUACUAUAUAGAAGAACGGCCAGCAAAGAGCUUGGAUCGGCUUUAUACCAUAUUGUAGAAAUGGAAAACAGAAUGCAAAGCUUUAUUUAUUUUAUACACCGUCUACAAAUAAGACUU
rnacentral:lncRNA from 1 species